AGUAGCCAUCUAGGUAAUCAGAUUGGCAGAUCAUAAGAAGAAGGGAUCUUUAUUGUCCUUGUGUGCCUUCACUCCAACUCUGAUUAAAAAGGACUCUCUACAGAAGACGUACUACUGGUCACUUACAUUGGAAGUAUGGUGUUGAUGAGCUUGAGUGAGAAAAAAAAUGGAUUUGGGUUAGAAGACUUGGGAUCUUGCACUUACCAGAACCUGAAGCUUUCUGACAAAGGAGAUUGGCAGGACAAAGAGAAGUAUAAGGAGUGAGAUUGUGACCUGAGGAUGUUCGAAAACGGCUCAUCCCUCCCUGGGAAGGAAGUACAAAUGAAGAAACUGAGGUUUGGAGAAGGGACUGAAGAGAAGCUGGCCAGAGGCGUACCUGGACGAUCACCCUGGCCUCCUCAUUUUCAGGCCUUCGAGAUUUUCCCAACUAGAUUCUGUCAACAGCAUGUCCAACAUGAGGUCCACAGAUGUUCUGGGGGAGAAAGGGGUGCUGAAUGUGGAGAGGCAAAUAAAAUGGACACACAAGCCUUGACCUCUUGGAGUGAUUAUGAUCAAGAUUAUGAUCAUUGUGACACACAUUAAUCCAGGAAGCAAACAAGUGUGAAAACAGAGCUGCAGAGGUGACACUUGGAUGCCCCCUGGCCAGGUGGUGACUAGAGGUCAGAUCUCUUCUCUAGUUGAGUGGUAGUCCAGGUUCCUGGGCUCUUUCCGCCCUGACCUACAGGCCUGACAGAGCCGUCAAAACAUGAGAGCCCUCUUUCUAAUCAUCUCACUUCUUGGAAAAAAUAGAAUGGUAAGCUCUGGAGCAUACUUCCUUACAGAAGAAUCACUGGAGGUCCUGGCUGGUAUAGAUUUUAUUUUUUUUCCUGAGAAAAUGGGCAUGUAAUUACAUAUUUUGAGCGGGUGUUUUACUCUACCUGUCCAAGACCUUUUCUCUUCUAAUUGCUAUAAUGGCAAGAAUCCACACAUUAAAAAUGUACACACACACAUCUCUGGAUAAACACAGGCACACUAAUAACUAUGAACACAUAUGGACCAUUUUGUUCAUCAAUUUUCUUAAAAACCACUCAAACUGCACAAACUCAGGGCAUUGUGAUAUCACACAGAUUCCUGUAAUAGAGGCUAAAUGUGAGGUAACGUUUUCAGUACAUGACAUAUGGCCCCUCACUAAGAAUUAUCAUUGGUAUUCAUCCACAACGGGUGGUGAAGGAGCAGCACUGAUGUUAUGAGGCGCUUGAGAAUUCUUUUUGCCCUAGGGAGAAGAUGAAAGUCAAUGAACCAGAGAAGCAAUGUUUUGUUUUUGUUGUGCUUUCAGCUGCUAUCCAAAUUGGUUUCACAAUUUCUUGCACUUUUACGUAACCUUCCCUGUGGGGCACUUAACGCAGAUUAAAGUAACAUAGCCACACUUCCAACUCUGGAAAUACCACCACUGAGGAAUGGUACAUUAUACUUAGGAGCAUUAAUAACAGGAUCCUAAACCAUUUUCUAAAGUUUUGUGAUCUUCAUAUUCACACACCAUCUUAGGAGGGUUGGCUGAAGUUCUAGGCAAAGAAUGUUUAAGAAAAAAUGGCAGAAGCAAAUUUCAGUCAACUCUUCAGGUUUAUCUUUACUUGACCUGUCACUGCUUACCAACUUUCCAGUUCUAAUUCACAGGGCUGCAGUCUGUGAGAACAAGAAGUUUAAGGAAAACUCACUCACUCCGGUGAGCUUAUACUCUCCUUGAGGAGCUGAGAUGCUCAGGAAUGAGAGAGUGGUUUGUUU
rnacentral:lncRNA from 1 species